CUUGCUGCUGCUGCUGCUGCUGCUGCUGCAGCUGCCGCUGCUGCUGCUGCUGCUUGCUGCUACUCAAGCUGACCGCAGGGAGAGAGAGACAAGAUGCAGGGAGAAAGACAAAAGAGAAAGGUUACAAGUCUUACCUCUUUUUCUUCUUCUUCUUCUUUCUCUUCUUCUCUUUUCUCUUCUUUUCUCCUUCUCUCUCUCUCUACGUAGGCAGGCUGAAGGGGGAUAAGGAUGGAGCUCCCCUGCUGGCAGGUUUAGUGGAAAUCCACUAAGCCAUGUGUAAUUACCAAAUUGCCCUCGACUUAUACUCCGUCGCGCAACUCGGAUCAAAUACCUUUCGUAGGCUCUUCCGAAAGUCCGAUUGAGCUCAAAAUUGGCAGGAAUGUUCGUUUUUACUUAACAAGUCCACUGAAAUUUUAACAUUUCAGUUUCGACCCCGUUUGGUCACUGCGAACUGUCCCGAACUGUAAUCUUUAUCCGAUAACUUCCAGAUGCUAUUUCUCUCUCUACAGGUGUCAGAAUAAUAUGAAACUUGAAAUCUGGCCUCACACCAAUGUUCCUGACAUCUCCGCCAAUUUUCAUAAUUUUCUGACACUGUGCAUUUUCUGCUAAUUUUC
rnacentral:lncRNA from 1 species